CCAGCGGCCGCACCUCCUCUCAUUUUCUCAAAUCCUUCCUCUUUUUUUUUUUGUGCUCCUUUUUCCUUUCCCAGACACGAAUCCUAGCUUCCCAAAAGCUGUCGCCACUCCACCAAACCUCUCAGCCUUCUUGUCUGUGAACAAUAGCAUGCAGACUCAAUAGACACCACCCCCAAACUUAGUCUCGAUCCAGCCCAAAAGGUACUGUACACCGAUUUCCGCUUUCCAUUCUCUUGUCCAGAGUUAUUAGUUACUCGAAAAAAAAAUCCUUGUAAAUCUUCAUGCUUGUGUGUGUUCUAUAUGUAGACUUCGGGAUUCGAGUGAGGCCAAGGGGAAGAUAGUUACUGCGAGGAGCAAAGGCGCACCCACGGAGCUGUUAGUGUAACUUGAAUUUGAUAGAUUUUAUCCGAUGAGGAAGAGCUGAACAGAAAAAAUGAAAACAGAGAUGGAAGAAGCUGAAACAAACGUUUUUCCUUUCUUGUUCUCUUGCAAAAUACUGCAGAGGAAUAUUUUCAAUGCUCCUACAAAAACACAAAGAGCACUAACUCUCCUUUACAUUAAUUGGUGGCCUUAGCUUUAGGACCACACAAGACUCAACUUUUAAUCUUAGUCACUCAUCUAUCUAAUUACAUAGAUCACACAUCACAUGGCUCUCAUGGCCUUACAACUUGUAACUUUACACUUGACAGAUAUGCUCAAGUGAAUACACACAUUAAACUCAACUUAUUUCUAAUACUCAAUCAGCUAGAGACUUAUAAUUCAACACUCCCCUUUAAGUCUUGAGCUGAUUUCACUCCAAGCAUGCUCCUGAGAUAAUUAAACCGAUCUUUAGCCAAAGGUUUUGUGAAAAUAUCUGCCAUCUGUUCUUCUGUGGGACAAUAAAUCAAAUCAAUGAUUCCUUCUUGCAGUGCAUCUUUAAUGAAGUGAUAUCUUCUGUCUAUAUGUUUGGUCUUCUGAUGAAAGACAGAAUUCUUGGUGAUUGCAAUUGCUGAGGUGUUGUCACAAUGUAAUGGAGUUGCUUCAGUUUGAAGUUCCCCAAAAUCUUCUAAGACAAAUCUAAGCCAGAUUGCUUGUGCAGUGGCAUUUGAUGCACUUAUGUACUCUGCUUCUGCAGUGGAUAAUGCCACGCAACUCUGCUUAACUGAAGCCCAAGAAAAAACUCCACUUCCAAACGAAAAAGCAUAUCCAGAUGUACUUCUGCUAUCAUCUAGAGAUCCACUCCAGUCACUGUCGCAAUAGCCAAUCAACAUUGCCUCCUUGCCUUUUGUAUACUCUAAACCAUAAUCUAGAGUUCCUUUGAUGUAUCUGAGCACACGUUUGGCAGUUCCAAAAUGCUUGCUAGUGGGACAGUGCAUAAAUCUGGCAAGCAAACUGGAUGCAUACAUUAUGUCAGGCCUAGUAGCUGUGAGAUAUAGAAGACUCCCCACAAUGCUUCUAUAUAGCUCUUCACUUAUUGCUCCACUUCCAUCAUCUUUAGUUAAUUUCUCAGUUGCCACAAGUGGUGUGAUCACAGAUUUGCACUCAUUCAGACCAAACUUGCUUAGUAAAGAACUUGCAUAAUUUUUCUGAUGGAUGAAAAUGCUAGAAUUGGUCUGAAUUACUCCAAUUCCAAGAAAAUGAUGGAGAAGACCCAAGUCUGUCAUUUCAUAUUUUCUCUUCAUGUCUUCUUUGAAUUCAUCAAGCAUCAGUCUAUCACUUCCAGUAUAAACUAUGUCAUCCACGUAAAUAGAGACAAUCAGAAUGUCUUGUCCCCUUGCUUUGAUGUACAGUGUUGGUUCACUCAAACUUUUCUCAAAACCACACUGUGAGAAGUAUGUAUCGAUUUCUCCAUACCAAGCCCUUGGAGCCUGCUUUAAUCCGUACAAGGCUUUAUGCAAUCGAUAGACUUUAUCUUCCUUUCCCUUGACUACAUAUCCUCAGGCUGAUCCACAUAAACCUCUUCUUCCAAUACACCAUUCAGAAAAGCUGAUUUUACAUCAAGUUGAUAUAAUUUCCAGUUCUUAUGUGCUGCCAAGGCCACAAGGGUCCUGAUAGUAUCCAAUCUUGCCACUGGAGCAUACGUUUCAUUGUAGUCUAGACCUGGCUUUUGAGCAUAACCCUUUGCCACUAAUUUAGCUUUGUUUUUUAAACCUGAUCCAUCAAGAUUCAACUUGGUCUUAUAGACCCAUUUAACUCCAAUAACAGGCUGUUCAGUUGGUCUAUCCACAAGCUUCCAGGUACCAUUCUUCUCAAUCAUAGCUAAUUCAUCUUCCAUUGCCUUUAACCAUGAUUCAUCCUGAGCUGCAUCUGCAUAUCUUUCUGGUUCCAGAAUGCAUGAGUUGCAUUGAGCAAGAACAUCAUUCAAAUUUCUCCAUUUUAGAGGUGAGUGAUCAUAAGCCUCUGAAAUUUGUGCAGACUUAGGAGUGUCACUUUCUUGUUCUUGUGUAUGAAAAGAAGAACUAGGACUGAGAGAACUUCCUUCAAUCACACUCAUCUCAUAUGGAUUCUCACAAACUACAUUCUCAGGUUGAUCCUGAAUGUAAGUUGCAACAGCUGAACUUUGUGAACUUUCUUUCCAAUUCCAGGUCAUAGAUUCAUCAAAAACCACAUCUCUUGACAAGAUUAACUUGUUGGUACAUGGAUCAAAUAUUCUGUAUCCCUUCUCACAUGUAGCAUAACCCACAAAUACACCUUUAACACUCUUAGCAUCUAGCUUCUGUCUUGUCUCAGUAGGUAUAUGAACAUAGCACAGGGAACCAAAAAUCUUGAGAUGUGCAAGACCUGGUUUUCUGCCACUAUAGGCUUCAAAAGGGGUUGUAUUUUCUAGUGCCUUUGUAGGACACCUAUUUAGAAUAUAUACAGCUGUGUGUACAGCUUCAGCCCAAAGAACAUAUGGCAUACCUCUAUCAUGAAGCAUAGUCUUUGCCAUUUCAACCACAGUUCGAUUUUUCCUCUCCACUACUCCAUUCUGUUGAGGAGUAUAAGCCAUGGUGAGUUGCCUUUGAAUGCCCUCAGUUUCACAGAAUUUAGUGAACUCGGAAGAUAAAAAUUCUCCACCCCUGUCACUCCUUAGACUUUUAAUUUUGAAACCACUCUGCAGCUCCACCAUUGACUUGAAUUUUUUGAAGUAAUUGAAUGCAUCAGAUUUGUAUCUGAGAAAAUACACCCAGAUCAUCCUUGUACAGUCAUCAAUGAAUAGCAUGAAAAAUUUGUUUCCAGCCAAUGAUGCAUUCUGCAUAGGACCACAGAGAUCAACAUGUAUAAGUUCCAGAGGACAGCUUGCUCUCCAGGCUUGAUCUUUUGGAAACCAUUCUCUGUGCUGUUUUCCAAAUUGACAUCCUUGCCAUACAUCCUUGGUUGCUUCUAGGUAUGGAAGACCAUGCACCAUAUUCUUCUCACUGAGUUGCUGAAGCCCUCUGAGAUUCAAGUGGCCUAGUCUUCUGUGCCAAAACUGAGUAGAAUGCUCCAAACUAGCCUUCAAAACUAACUGAUUAUUUUUUACCAGAGAAAGAGGAUAGCAUCGAUUUUCCUUCUUCUUAACCUUGAUGAUAAGGUUUUCAAGUGAAGGUCCAUCAUAUAUGCUGCACAAACCUCCUCCAAACACUAGAUAAUAUCCAUGCUCAUCCAUUUGUCCAACACUCAAUAAGUUUUCUUUUAAACCUGGCAGAUGCAUGACUUCCCUGAUAUACCUUUUACCUCUGUUAGUGUCAAUCUGCAAUGAACCCAUUCCAGCCACAUUCACUAACACACCAGUAGGCAUUUGCACCUUUCCAGCAACAUUUGUAUUUAUGUCAACAAGGAGAUCAGCAUUCCCUGUCAUGUGAUUACUACAACCACUGUCAACAUACCAAUUUCCAUUGAUAUUUGUUUCUGAUAUUGCACUAUUAGCAUAGAACAGAUUUCCUGACACUUCCACCUGAUUUACAGAGUUUGCCUUUUGCACAAUCUUCCCUACAGUGCAUUCUCUAGCCCAAUGACCAAACUUAUCAUAAUUAUAACACUUAGGCUUCCCCUUAUAUCGACAUUCACCAAAAUGAUACUUAGAACACACUCUACACUGUGGUUUGACAGUCUCUUGACUCAUUGACUGUGACUGAUAUGGAUUUGGUGCAGGACUAGUGAAAGGUUUCUGUUGGAAUCGAGGUUUCGAAUCCCAUUUCUUUCCCUUAGCAUUCCAAUUCUUCUGGAAUUUUGAUGAGCCAGAUUGAACUCCACUUCUAUUUUGCCCCUUUGGACUUACUGAGAAUGAUGCAAAAGCUUUCUCAGUGGUAUCAACAUUAUGCAAGUCAAAUCGUUGUUCCUGACUCUUCAAAAUCGCAACAACUUCUUGCAGCUCAACAGACUCUAGACACUUUGUGUUUUCUAUAACUAAACAGAUGGAAUCAUAAGGCUUACUUAGACUAAUCAGAACCUUCUGCACAAGUCUCUCAUUAGAAAGGGAUUCACCAAAUGUUCUCAUCUGAUUAAUUAACUCAUUCAAUCUUGUAAGAUAACUAGACAGAGAUUCAUCAUCUCGCAUUCUAGCAUACUCAAAUUCUCUUCUAAGAUUCUGAAGUUUUACGGAUCUAACCUGAUCACCACCAUGAUAUUCUCCAUACAGUAGAUCCCAUGCCACCUUAGCUGAGUCGGCGUUGGCGAUCCUAGGAAAAAUUUGAUCAGAAACCGCAUUUUGUAUAAUACCUAGAGCCUUUGCAUCUUGCAUAUAUGUUGCGACCAUUUUCUCAUCGUCUUCUUCUUCUGAGCUUCCUUCAGCCUUCUUCUUCUUUGACUCUGAGAUCGUAACCCCUUUUUCAACCAAUCUCCAUAACCCAUGAGAUUUGAAAAUCGUCAUCAUCUUAAUCCUCUAGAACUCGUAGUUCUCACCGGAGAAGAUCGGAGUUCUCACCUCAGAACUUCCAGACCCAGCCAUCUCUUAGCUUAGACAAGACGAACACAAAUCAAAAUCGGAAUCUAUGGAGUUUCAGCAACUUCGCUUGAGCCGGAACGAGCUUAAGUGUAGUUCAAAUUCUUCACAGUUUACGCCCAGAUCUCAAAUGAUCAAACCUGGCUCUGAGGCCAUGUUAGUGUAACUUGAAUUUGAUAGAUUUUAUCCGAGGAGGAAGAGCUGAACAGAAAAAAUGAAAACAGAGAUGGAAGAAGCUGAAACGAACGUUUUUCCUUUCUUGUUCUCUCUUGCAAAAUACUGCAGAGGAAUAUUUUCAAUGCUCCUACAAAAACACAAAGAGCACUAACUCUCCUUUACAUUAAUUGGUGGCCUUAGCUUUAGGACCACACAAGACUCAACUUUUAAUCUUAGUCACUCAUCUAUCUAAUUACAUAGAUCACACAUCACAUGGCUCUCAUGGCCUUACAACUUGUAACUUUACACUUGACAGAUAUGCUCAAGUGAAUACACACAUUAAACUCAACUUAUUUCUAAUACUCAAUCAGCUAGAGACUUAUAAUUCAACAGGAGCUUCUGCGCA
rnacentral:lncRNA from 1 species